rnacentral:rRNA from 1 species
AUUGAACGCUGGCGGCAGGCUUAACACAUGCAAGUCGAGCGGUAACAGAGAGAAGCUUGCUUCUCUGCUGACGAGCGGCGGGCGGGUGAGUAAUGCCUAGGAAUCUGCCUAGUAGUGGGGGAUAACUUGCCGAAAGGUAAGCUAAUACCGCAUACGUCCUACGGGAGAAAGGAGGGGACCUUCGGGCCUUUCGCUAUUAGAUGAGCCUAGGUCGGAUUAGUUAGUUGGUGAGGUAAUGGCUCACCAAGACCGCGAUCCGUAACUGGUCUGAGAGGAUGAUCAGUCACACUGGAACUGAGACACGGUCCAGACUCCUACGGGAGGCAGCAGUGGGGAAUAUUGGACAAUGGGGGGAACCCUGAUCCAGCCAUGCCGCGUGUGUGAAGAAGGUCUUAGGAUUGUAAAGCACUUUAAGUUGGGAGGAAGAGCAGUUAACUAAUAUUUGACUGUUUUGACGCUACCGACAGAAUAAGCACCGGCUAACUUCGUGCCAGCCGCCGCGGUAA